rnacentral:rRNA from 1 species
UACGGAGGGUGCAAGCGUUGUCCGGAUUUAUUGGGUUUAAAGGGUGCGUAGGCGGGCUUUUAAGUCAGCGGUGAAAGCUUCGAGCUUAACUCGGAAAUUGCCGUUGAUACUAUUAGUCUUGAAUUAAGUUGAGGUGGGCGGAAUAUGUCAUGUAGCGGUGAAAUGCUUAGAUAUGACAUAGAACACCGAUUGCGAAGGCAGCUCGCUAAACUUAUAUUGACGCUGAGGCACGAAAGCGUGGGGAGCAAACAGG